UACGAAGGGGGCUAGCGUUGUUCGGAAUCACUGGGCGUAAAGCGUGCGCAGGCGGUUUGUUAAGUCUGUUGUGAAAUCCCCGAGCUCAACUUGGGAAUUGCAAUGGAUACUGGCAGGCUGGAGUAUGGUAGAGGAAGGUGGAAUUCCCGGUGUAGCAGUGAAAUGCGUAGAGAUCGGGAGGAACACCAGUGGCGAAGGCGGCCUCUGGACCAAUACUGACGCUCAUGCACGAAAGCGUGGGGAGCAAACAGG
rnacentral:rRNA from 1 species